AGUCAGUCACAGAUAAGUGGGUUUGUUUUGCACGAUUAAAUGAUUUUCUUAUUUCCUUUUGUAGUGAUGUGUUGAGAUGUAGGCCUUUUCUUCGAACCAAGACUUAAAUAGAACACCAAAUUUCUCCUAUAAGAGUGCUCCAGAGAAAACAAGGAAGUUCUCCCUUUCAGACUUCUUCCUGGCAAAAUGGUUCCAGAA
rnacentral:lncRNA from 1 species